rnacentral:rRNA from 1 species
CCUACGGGAGGCAGCAGUGGGGAAUAUUGGGCAAUGGGCGCAAGCCUGACCCAGCAACGCCGCGUGAAGGAAGAAGGCCCUCGGGUUGUAAACUUCUUUUGUCAGGGACGAAACAAAUGACGGUACCUGACGAAUAAGCCCCGGCUAACUACGUGCCAGCAGCCGCGGUAAUACGUAGGGGGCAAGCGUUAUCCGGAUUUACUGGGUGUAAAGGGAGCGUAGACGGCGCGGCAAGUCUGAAGUGAAAGGCAGGGGCUUAACCCCUGAACUGCUUUGGAAACUGCCAUGCUAGAGUGCUGGAGAGG